CUAAAACCUAAAAUUUUUUCAUGUAUGGUCUGUGUGAAACCUAAAACCUAAAAAUUUUUGUUAAGUCAAAAAUCUAUCACGGCCGUCGAAGCUUUCUUCCUUCUCUCUCCUUCCCUCUCUCUCGCUCUCUUUCUCUCUCUAACAAUGAUAUACCUUGAAAGCCGCCUCCAUCAACACCUUGAAAGCCGCCGUCCUUAAGCUAAAAUAUCCCUAAAAAGAACCCAGAAAGUGCUGUGAAGAAUUUGGGCAAAGUUAAGGUUUGAAAGUCCGAAUCAGUGUUGUGGUAACUCUUUGUCUCAUUCUCUAUUCUCAUUGUUUAAGUAUUUAUCUGUUAAUUGAUUGAUGUUUAUUGAGUGCAAAUGAGAGCUUGCACUUGUUUGGAAAUCUAGCCAUCUAG
rnacentral:lncRNA from 1 species